ACGUGGGCAACCUGCCUGUAAGACUGGGAUAACUUCGGGAAACCGGAGCUAAUACCGGAUAAUCCUUUCCACCACAUGGUGGAAAGCUGAAAGACGGCAUCUCGCUGUCACUUACAGAUGGGCCCGCGGCGCAUUAGCUAGUUGGUGAGGUAACGGCUCACCAAGGCAACGAUGCGUAGCCGACCUGAGAGGGUGAUCGGCCACACUGGGACUGAGACACGCCCCAGACUCCUACGGGAGGCAGCAGUAGGGAAUCUUCCGCAAUGGACGAAAGUUUGACGAAGAAACCCCGCGGGGAGUGAUGAAGGUUUUCGGAUCGUAAAGCUCUGUUGUUAGGGAAGAACAAGUACAAGAGUAACUGCUUGUACCUGGACGGUACCUAACCAGAAAGCCACGGCUAACUACGUGCCAGCAGCCGCGGUAAUACGUAGGUGGCAAGCGUUGUCCGAAAUUAUUGGGCGUAAAAGCGCGCGCAGGCGGGGCUUUAAGUCUUUGAUGUGAAAGCCCCACGGCUCACACCGUGGAGGSUCAUUGGAAACUGGGGGACUUGAGUGCAGAAGAGAAGAGUGGAAUUCCGCGUGUAGCGUGGAAAUGCGUAGAGAUGUGGAGGAACACCAGUGGCGAAGGCGACUCUUUUGUCUGUAACUGACGCUGAGCGCGUAAAGCGUGGGGGAGCAAACCAGGAUUAGAUACCCUUGUAGUCCCACGCCGUAAACGAUGAGUUCUAAGUGUUAGGAGGGUUUCCGCCCUUUUAGUCGCUGCAGCAAACGCAGUAAGCACUUCCGCCUGGGGAGUCCGGCCCCAAGGCUGGAACUCAAAAAGAAUUUAUCGGGGGCCCGCACAAGGCGCGUGCAUUUUKUUUAAUUCGAARCAACGCGGAGARUCUUACCAGGUUUUGACAUUCUUUGACACUUCUAGCAAUAAGAUCGUUUCCCCUCGGGGGACAGAAUGACAGGUGGUGCAGUGUUGUCUUCCGCCCGUGUCGUGAGAUUUUGGGUUAAAUCCGCCAACGAGGCCAACCCUUGAUUUUAGUUUCCCACCUUAAAUUGGGCCCUUUAAGGUGGCUGCCGGUGACAAACCGGAGGAAGGGGGGGGUGGCCUCAAAACCUCAUGCCCCUUUUGGCCUGGGCCACACCCCUGGCACAAAGGGUGGUACAAAGGGCAACAAAACCGCGGGGGGGGGCAAAUCCCAUAAAACCAUUCCCAGUUCGGGUUGUGGGGUGCCACUUCCCUUCCUGGAGCCGGAAUCCCUUGUAAUUGCGGGAUCACAUUCCGCGGGGAAAUCGUUCCCGGGCCUUGUUCACACCCCCCCUCCCCUCCCGAGAGUGUUCUCCCGAAACUGUA
rnacentral:rRNA from 1 species